rnacentral:rRNA from 1 species
UACGUAGGGCGCAAGCGUUGUCCGGAAUUAUUGGGCGUAAAGAGCUCGUAGGCGGUUUGUCGCGUCUGCUGUGAAAACCCGAGGCUUAACCUCGUGGCUUGCGGUGGAUACGGGCAGACUAGAGGUAGGUAGGGGAGAAUGGAAUUCCCGGUGUAGCGGUGAAAUGCGCAGAUAUCGGGAGGAACACCGGUGGCGAAGGCGGUUCUCUGGGCCUUACCUGACGCUGAGGAGCGAAAGCGUGGGGAGCGAACAGG